CGCCAUGAUUUUUGAAUUUUUUAUUGAUUUUGGCAAAAUCGCAUUUUUGUGCUUUCUUUGUUUUUCAUGUCGCAGCCAUUGUUCUUACGGUCUUAACCUAAUUUUAGCAGUAAAUUUAGUGUUUUACAUUAUGGCAAAAAUCCAUGGUGCUCGAGAUAUAGACGACAGCAGAAGGCUAUCAUAGAAGGCCGCAAAGGACGACUGUACGAAGAGCUCGCAUAACAGUUUGACAUUUCUAAAUCGGCGGUAACCAAAUUGUUGAAGCGUUGGAAGGCCCAGGGAGGUUAUGUCAAGAAGAAGAAAACCGGGCGACCGCGUUGUACUUCUUCUGUCAUUGAUCGCAUAUCCUCCGCAUAUCCCGCAGCAAUUCACGUUUCACGGCAUCAGGACUACAUGGACGACGACCCGUAAAGAAGCCAUUUAUUUCCGCCAAGAACCGGAAGGUGCGAGUGGAAUGGGUGAAAGCUCAUCUUAAUAGGACACCUCAGCAGUGAUCCUCUGUCGUCUGGAGCGACGAAAUACUAAUUUCCUACAAUGAAACACGGAGGUAGUGUGCUUUCUCUGCAAAGGGAAUGGGUCCCCUUCAUAGGAUCGACGGCAAAAAAUAUACGUAGACAUCCUCGAGAAUGUGAUGCUUCCGUACGCAAAGCGUUUCCUUGGUCGUGGCUUUAUAUAUUAGCAAGAUAAUGAUCCAAAGCAUCGCGCGGCUAAAGUGCAGAAGUGGUUUCGACAGCAUCGAGUAACUUUUCUAGAGUGACCAAGCCAAUCGUCCGACCUAAAUAUCAUCGAACCGUUGUGGGAUGAACUCCAGAGACGUUUAGCUAGUAAGCGAGCUACAAAUAUGGCCGAAAAAUUCGCCUAAUUGAAGGAAGAAUGAAAGAAGAUUUCUCAGUCGACAAUUGAUGCACUUAUUGAUUCUUUCGCCCAGACGCUGCCUGUAAUCGAUGUCAAGAGUUUUGCUACAAAAUAUUAGAGUUGUACAAUCUAAAUUAUGAAUUUUUUGUUCAUUUU